rnacentral:rRNA from 1 species
UACGUAGGGCGCAAGCGUUGUCCGGAAUUAUUGGGCGUAAAGCGCACGUAGGCGGCUUAGCAAGUCGGAAGUGAAAUCCCUCGGCUCAACCAAGGAAGUGCUUUCGAAACUGCUGAGCUUGAGUACUUAAGGGGAUCGCGGAAUUCCCGGUGUAGAGGUGAAAUUCGUAGAUAUCGGAAGGAACACCAGUGGCGAAAGCGGCUUCCUGGUCCAGCACCGACGUUCAGGCACGAAAGCGUGGGGAGCAAACAGG